UACAGAGGGGGCAAGCGUUGUUCGGAAUUACUGGGCGUAAAGGGCGCGUAGGCGGCGUGCUAAGUCGAACGUGAAAUCCCCGGGCUCAACCCGGGAACUGCGUCCGAGACUGGCAUGCUUGAAUCCGGGAGAGGGAUGUGGAAUUCCAGGUGUAGCGGUGAAAUGCGUUGAUAUCAGGAGGAACACCCAUGGCGAAGGCAGCAAACUGGGCAUCAACUGACGCUGAGGCGCGAAAGCGUGGGUAGCAAACAGG
rnacentral:rRNA from 1 species